CAGUCCUUCUGUGUCUAGCUCUAUUACAGAGUGUGAGAGGAGAGACAGAAUACUGUACCCAUAAGGCCAGGACUUUAUAACAAAGACUGCCUUAUUCCAGAGAUAUGUACAUAUGUGUAUAAACCCUCCCUCCAGGCCACAAGCUCUUGGCAGGAUGGGCAAUUACCAAUCGAGUCACCAGUUUGUCCCCAUAGUGUGAUCUUAAAGGAGACUUGGUCCCAGUCAUCUCCACCAGUGCCCUCAGCUCUGUGUGUGCAGACAGCUUCCUGGGAUGAGAUGCUCUGCUGCUAAAUGCCUCGAGGAUACUGGCGCAAGUAAGGUCACAGAGCUAGACUACAGCUCGAGCUGGGAACCUCCAAGCCCCGCCCUUCUUCAACUUCAUAGAGGUAGCUAUGAAGACGGGAUGGCUGUCCUGUCUGGCUGCCCAGCAGGUCUAGUAAAACAGAAUACACGGAUGGAUUCUGUGAGGAAGUGAGAAGCUGGACAGCGGUGAGGCCCACACGUCUGGGCAACAUUCACCGUGUGAAGAGCUCCGAUGCUGCCCAGAACACCAGAUAAUGUUUUCUGCAGCCCUGGAAUGGCCGAAGCCUGGCUUCCAUCCAGCCACCACUACCUUAAAAGUAUAUGCACAGACUUUUAAUAAUAAACACAGUGCUAUAUUGUA